rnacentral:rRNA from 1 species
GACGAACGCUGGCGGCGUGCUUAACACAUGCAAGUCGAACGCUGAAGGCCCAGCUUGCUGGGUUGGAUGAGUGGCGAACGGGUGAGUAACACGUGAGUAACCUGCCCCCUUCUUUGGGAUAACGGUCGGAAACGGCUGCUAAUACCGGGUAUUCACUGUCCUUCGCAUGGGGGGUGGUGGAAAGGUUUUUUCUGGUGGGGGAUGGGCUCGCGGCCUAUCAGCUUGUUGGUGGGGUGAUGGCUUACCAAGGCUUUGACGGGUAACCGGCCUGAGAGGGUGACCGGUCACAUUGGGACUGAGAUACGGCCCAGACUCCUACGGGAGGCAGCAGUGGGGAAUAUUGCACAAUGGGCGAAAGCCUGAUGCAGCGACGCCGCGUGAGGGAUGGAGGCCUUCGGGUUGUAAACCUCUUUCGCUCAUGGUCAAGCCGCAACAGUGGUUGUGGUGAGGGUAGUGGGUAAAGAAGCACCGGCUAACUACGUGCCAGCAGCCGCGGUAAUACGUAGGGUGCGAGCGUUGUCCGGAAUUAUUUGGGCGUAUAGGGCUUGUAGGCGGUUUGUCGCGUCUGCCGUGAAAUCCUCUGGCUAACUGGGGGCGUGCGUGGGUACGGGCACGCUUGAGUGCGGUA